AUGAACGCUGGCGGCGUGCCUAAUACAUGCAAGUCGAGCGAACGGACGAGAAGCUUGCUUCUCUGAUGUUAGCGGCGGACGGGUGAGUAACACGUGGAUGACCUACCUAUAAGACUGGGAUAACUUCGGGAAACCGGAGCUAAUACCGGAUGAUAUUUUGAACCGCAUGGUUCAAAAGUGAAAGACGGUCUUGCUGUCACUUAUAGAUGGAUCCGCGCUGCAUUAGCUAGUUGGUAAGGUAACGGCUUACCAAGGCAACGAUGCAUAGCCGACCUGAGAGGGUGAUCGGCCACACUGGAACUGAGACACGGUCCAGACUCCUACGGGAGGCAGCAGUAGGGAAUCUUCCGCAAUGGGCGAAAGCCUGACGGAGCAACGCCGCGUGAGUGAUGAAGGUCUUCGGAUCGUAAAACUCUGUUAUUAGGGAAGAACAUAUGUGUAAGUAACUGUGCACAUCUUGACGGUACCUAAUCAGAAAGCCACGGCUAACUACGUG
rnacentral:rRNA from 1 species